rnacentral:tRNA from 1 species
UUCUGUAGCUUAGUUGGUUGAAGCGCCGGUCUAGCGAAUACGGAUUCGUGGGUUCGUAUCCCACCAGAA